GAGCACGUAGGUGGGUUUGUAAGUCAGAUGUGAAAGCCUUCUGUUCAAAGGAAGAACGGCAUCUGAAACUGCAGAUCUUGAGUGUAGGAGGGGAGAGUGGAACUUCUGGUGGAGCGGUGAAAUGCGUAGAUAUCAGAAGGAACGUCGGCGGCGAAAGCGACUCUCUGGCCUAUUACUGACACUGAGUGUGCGAAAGUUAGGGGAGCAAACGGGAUUAGAUACCCCGGUAGUCCUAACUGUAAACGAUGGGCACUAAGUAGAGGGGUC
rnacentral:rRNA from 1 species